UGAAAAGAGAACGUCACACGAUAUUUUCGUUUUCUCUGUUUGUCCAACAGCGUGGCGAUAAUACUCGGUCGAUGUGUGCGCAGCUGCAGCCCCCUUUCAAACGCGUACCCGAUUUCCCGUGCGUCGUGAAUUACAAUGAAACAUUUUAGACGUCGGUUCGUAGGGUCGUAAAUAUCACGGAUUUCAAUUACGGUCACGAGUUUUUUUUUCUAAAUGGAAUAUUAAUGGUAAUACAAACAAUCGUUGACACACAGCUGCCACCGCCGUGUCUCACACCGUAUAACCGUCGUCCCUAGCAACCGAGGGCAAUUGUACGACGACCCUUCCAUCCACUGUCAGCUUCGCAGGACGACGACACCCGGUGGUGGGGUACGAA